GCCGUGGCCUACUGGUUAGCGCUUUGGACUUGUAACCGGAGGGUUGAUGGUUCGAACCCGACCAGUAGGCA
rnacentral:tRNA from 1 species